rnacentral:rRNA from 1 species
AUGUCUGACCAGAGCGAUUGCCAGAACAAAUCAGAAGAGCAAGUGCACAUGAGUGAGGGCACUAGUCCCUCAAGCAGCUAUGAUGAUGGCAACAGGAGCACUCCAAGCAAUUUGCCCAAGGCAGCCACCAGAUCAAGGAAGAAGAAAACCUUAGAUUAUGAGGAUGAGGACUAUGUGGCUGUGGAGGAGGAAGUAAGCUCCAAAAAGGAAGUGUUGAAGAAGGAAUAUGGUACUGCUGCUUGCUACCUCUUGAGCAUGUGUUGGUUUUCCCUUGAAGAGGAAAGGGUGAUGCAGCAAAGUAGCAUAAGUAUUUCCCUCAGUUUUUGA